rnacentral:rRNA from 1 species
GAUGAACGCUAGCGCUAGGCUUAACACAUGCAAGUCGAGGGACCGGCGCAUGGGUGCGUAACGCGUAUGCAACUUGCCUCACAGAGGGGGAUAACCCGUCGAUAGACGGACUAAUACCUCGUACUGUGAGAUAGGCAUGCGUCCCAUUAGCUAGUUGGUGAGGUAACGGCUCAACCAGGCAACGAUGGGUAGGGGAACUGAGAGGGUGAACCCCCACACUGGUACUUAGGCCCGGACCAGACUGCUACGGGGGGCAGCAGUGAGGAAUAUUGGUCAAUGGGCGAGAGCCUGAACCAGCCAAGGCGCGUGAAGGAUGCCUGGCUAUGGAUUGUCAUCUUCUGUUGUAGGGGAAUAUGUACCCUACGAAUAAGCAUCGGCUAACUCCGUGCCAGCAGCCGCGGUAAUUC